rnacentral:rRNA from 1 species
AUUGAACGCUGGCGGUAUGCUUUACACAUGCAAGUCGAACGGUAACAGGCCUUCGGGUGCUGACGAGUGGCGCACGGGUGAGUAAUGCAUCGGAACGUACCCAGAGGUGGGGGAUAACGCAGCGAAAGCUGUGCUAAUACCGCAUGUGAUCUGAGGAUGAAAGCGGGGGACCGAGCAGCAAUGUUUGGCCUCGCGCCUUUGGAGCGGCCGAUGUCGGAUUAGCUAGUUGGUGGGGUAAAGGCCUACCAAGGCGACGAUCCGUAGCUGGUCUGAGAGGACGACCAGCCACACUGGGACUGAGACACGGCCCAGACUCCUACGGGAGGCAGCAGUGGGGAAUUUUGGACAAUGGGCGCAAGCCUGAUCCAGCAAUGCCGCGUGCGGGAAGAAGGCCUUCGGGUUGUAAACCGCUUUUGGCAGGAACGAAACGGUGUCCGCUAAUACCGGGCGCUAAUGACGGUACCUGCAGAAUAAGCACCGGCUAACUACGUG